AGAGUUUGAUCCUGGCUCAGGAUGAACGCUGGCGGCGUGCGUAACACAUGCAAGUUGAGCGACGACGCAUCUGAGGUGGCAACAUGGAAGGUGCGAGCGGAGCAGCGGACGGGUGAGUAUAACAUGAGAAGCUGUCCUCUGGUGGGGGGCAACGUCUAGAAAUGGACGCUAAUACCCCAUAGGCCGAAAGGUUAAAGCAGCAAUGCGCCAGAGGAGGUGCUCGUGCCCUAUCAGCUAGUUGGUGAGGUAAUGGCUCACCAAGGCGACGACGGGUAGCCGGCCUGAGAGGGUGUCCGGCCACACUGGGACUGAGAUACGGCCCAGACUCCUACGGGAGGCAGCAGUGGGGAAUAUUGGGCAAUGGGAGAAAUCCUGACCCAGCGACGCCGCGUGAACGAAGAAGGCCUUCGGGUCGUAAAGUUCUUUUAUGCGGGAAGAAGAAAGUGACGGUACCGCAUGAAUAAGCCCCGGCUAACUACGUGCCAGCAGCCGCGGUAAUACGUAGGGGGCGAGCGUUGUCCGGAAUUACUGGGCGUAAAGGGCACGCAGGCGGUGUGUCAAGUCAGCUGUAAAAGGAUGCGGCUUAACCGUAUUGUGCAGUUGAGACUGACGUACUGGAGUACUGGAGAGGCAAGUGGAAUUCCCAGUGUAGCGGUGAAAUGCGUAGAUAUUGGGAAGAACAUCGGUGGCGAAGGCGACUUGCUGGCCAGUAACUGACGCUGAGGUGCGAAAGCCAGGGUAGCAAACGGGAUUAGAUACCCCGGUAGUCCUGGCCGUAAACGAUGAAUGCUAGGUGUGCGUGCAGAGAUGCAGGUGUGCCGCAGUUAACGCGAUAAGCAUUCCGCCUGGGGAGUACGGUCGCAAGAUUGAAACUCAAAGGAACUGACGGGGACCCGCACAAGCAGCGGAGCAUGUGGUUUAAUUCGAAGCAACGCGAAGAACCUUACCAGGUCUUGACAUCCUCUUGAAACUCUGGGUAAUGCCGGAGCCUCUUCGGACAAGAGAGACAGGUGGUGCAUGGUUGUCGUCAGCUCGUGUCGUGAGAUGUUGGGUUAAGUCCCGCAACGAGCGCAGGCGUGGCCUUUAGUCGCCAGCGAGUAAUGUCGGGCACUCUAGAGGGACUGCCGGGGACAACUCGGAGGAAGGUGGGGAUGACGUCAAAUCAUCAUGCCCCUUAUGAUCUGGGCUACACACGUGCUACAAUGGCCGGUACAACAGGAAGCGAUAUUGUGAGAUGGAGCGAAACCCAAAAGCCGGUCCCAGUUCGGACUGCAGGCUGCAACCCGCCUGCACGAAGUCGGAGUUGCUAGUAAUCGCGGAUCAGAAUGCCGCGGUGAAUGCGUUCCCGGGUCUUGUACACACCGCCCGUCACACCAUGGGAGUUGGGAGCGCCCGAAGCCAAUAGCCUAACCGCAAGGAGGGCGUUGUCUAAGGUGAGACCAAUGACUGGGGUGAAGUCGUAACAAGGUAACCGUA
rnacentral:rRNA from 1 species